rnacentral:tRNA from 1 species
GCGGAUGUGGUGAAAUUGGUAGACACGCUAGUUUUAGGCACUAGUGCUUCGGCGUGAAGGUUCGAGUCCUUUCAUCCGCACAA